rnacentral:lncRNA from 1 species
GAUACAUGAACCAUAAAUUAAAUUAAAACUUAAUCAAGAGAUUACAACAUCCAUAAUUGAAGAAUAUUUAAGCAUGCCUGCGCUUUUCUUCUCCCGCGAGACAAGUCGAGAUGAUGUUGGCCCACGGAAGUUUCCUCCCGGCUUCUCCCCAAUAAAGAAACGUAAUUUGUUGGAAAACGUGUUGUGAAGAAGACUUCAAGGAAACAAUUAACAAUAACAAAAACUAAAGUCUCCGGAUUCCUUCUAGAAAAAAAAUAUAUAUAAUUUAUAUGUAUAGAUGAGAGUUGAAAUCCCCAUUUUGCCUGCCUUGUCCAUUCAAACAAAACGACACCCACCCUUCCAAAUCCGACAAUUCACUCCUAAUUUACUAUUAAAUUUUAUCUUGAUCACAACCCAUCGCUGUUGCUUCUCAAUUAUUAUAUGAAUGUGUUUUGUGUGUCUUGUGCUAGUCGCCUCUGUUAGGAAUGGAAUCUGUAUAACCAUAACCUUCAACCCUUCUUCAACACUGAACCCAAAUGGGCAUUGUCUCAAAACCCUCCCUGUUUCUGCUUCUCAUCGCAGUUUUGAUGACUUCUUCAAGCUCCACUGUUGCAGAAGCACGGCCAGUUUUCCUCAUGCCUAAACAAGGUAAGAAUUAACCAAGCUGAUCUCUCCAUGAAUUUUCCAUCUGAAUCUUGAAUGGUUUUCUCAUAUAUGUGUCUGAUUCUGUAGGUGGUGGGUCAGGGAUUGCCACCAUGCUCGGAGUUAUUUGCAAGUGUUGUGAUGGUGUUGGAGGAGAGUGUUCCGGCACCUGGGCUGGAUCAUGCUCUAAUCUACAAUGUCAACCAUGGAAAAAUACAGUAGUUUAAUUAGAAUGCUAUGUAUUAUACGUUAUUACUGGUAUAAAUAUACAUAUAUAUAUAUAUGUGCUUUCUUUUUCCCAUGUAAAGAUGCGUUUGUACUAAAGAUCAUAUGCUUCUAUCAAUUGGGUAUGCGCUCAAUUUUGAAUAUAUCGGAGUAAAGCCCAUCAUCAUACUUAGCUGAUAAGAUUGUUGUGGGGAGAUAAAUCUGAACUUACUUUUGGAAAGAACUGGAGAACAGUUUCUAGGGAAAUCCGUUUGGACUUUUUCUGGGCAGAUGUGAAUUGAAUAGUGAAUUAGUUAGUUGACUGAAAAUUGGAGAUGGUGAUUUUUGAGGCUGAGACUGAGAGCUUGUAGUAGCGAUUGACCGGAGCCUGAUAAAAACCACUUGUUUAAAACUUUAACGUCUCUCACUUAUUGAAUUCAUCAGCUUUCUAGAAUUAAAUAGAUCCUUCUUAAUUAACAACCUUUGAAUUUUUU